rnacentral:rRNA from 2 species
GUCCUUUUGAUAUUUAUUUAAGGUCUAGUCUGCCCAAUGAUUAAUUAUAUUUAAAUGGCCGCGGUAUCUUGACCGUGCAAAGGUAGCAUAAUAAUUAGUUUUUUAAUUGAAAGCUGGAAUGAAAGGCUGCAUGAGAAAAAAGCUGUCUCUUUAAAAUUUUAUUAGAACUUUAUUUUUAAGUAAAAAAGCUUAAAUAUUGCUUAAAGACGAGAAGACCCUUUAGAGUUUUAUAUUAAAAUUAUUAUUUAUUAUUUAGUAUUAAUUUAAUAAGAUUUGAUUUUAUUAUUUGGUUGGGGUGAUUGAAAAAUUUAAAUAACUUUUUUUAAUAAAAUUACCAUUAAUUUAUGAUUUAUUGAUCCAAUUUUUUUGAUUAUAAGAAUAAAUUACCUAAGGGAUAACAGCGUUAUUUUUUUUGAGAGUUCUUAUCGAAAAAAAAGAUUGCGACCUCGAUGUUGGAUUAAAAUUAAACUAUGGCGUAGAAGUUAUAGCUUUAGGUCUGUUCGACCUUUAAAAUUUUACA